UACGUAGGGUGCGAGCGUUGUCCGGAAUUAUUGGGCGUAAAGGGCUCGUAGGCGGUUUGUCGCGUCGGGAGUGAAAACUCAGGGCUUAACCCUGAGCCUGCUUCCGAUACGGGCAGACUAGAGGUAUGCAGGGGAGAACGGAAUUCCUGGUGUAGCGGUGAAAUGCGCAGAUAUCAGGAGGAACACCGGUGGCGAAGGCGGUUCUCUGGGCCUUACCUGACGCUCAGGUGCGAAAGCUAGGGGAGCGAACAGG
rnacentral:rRNA from 1 species